CCGAGUUGUAAUUUGCAGAGGAUGUUUCUGGCGCGGUGCCUUCCGAGUUCCCUGGAACGGGACGCCACAGAGGGUGAGAGCCCCGUAUGGUCGGACACCAAGCCUGUGUGAAACUCCUUCAACGAGUCGAGUAGUUUGGGAAUGCUGCUCUAAAUGGGAGGUAAAUCUCUUCUAAAGCUAAAUACCGGCCAGAGACCGAUAGCGCACAAGUAGAGUGAUCGAAAGAUGAAAAGCACCUUGAAAAGGGGGUUAAAUAGUACGUGAAAUUGUUGAAAGGGAAGCACUUAUGACCAGACUUGGGCCGGGCGGCUCAUCAGGGGUUCUCCCCUGUGCACUCCGCCCGGCACAGGCCAGCAUCGGUUUUCGCGGGGGGAUAAGACCGACGGGAACGUAGCACCCUCCGGGGUGUGUUAUAGCCCGGCGGACGAUACCCUCGCGGGGACCGAGGUCCGCGCUCCGCAAGGAUGCUGGCGUAAUGGUCAUCAGUGACCCGUCUUGAAACACGGACCAAGGAGUCGUCCAUUAGAGCGAGCGUUUGGGUGUAAAACCCGCACGCGUAAUGAAAGUGAACGCAGGUGAGAGCUUCGGCGCAUCAUCGACCGAUCCUGAUGUUCUCGGAAGGGAUUUGAGU
rnacentral:rRNA from 1 species